rnacentral:rRNA from 1 species
UACAGAGGUCUCAAGCGUUGUUCGGAUUCAUUGGGCGUAAAGGGUGUGUAGGUGGCGCGCUAAGUCGGGUGUGAAAUCUUGGAGCUUAACUCCGAAACUGCAUUCGAUACUGCCGUGCUUGAGGACUGGAGAGGAGACUGGAAUUUACGGUGUAGCGGUGAAAUGCGUAGAUAUCGUAAGGAAGACCAGUGGCGAAGGCGGGUCUCUGGACAGUUCCUGACGCUGGGGCACGAAGGUCAGGGGAGCAAACGGG